UACGAAGGGGGCUAGCGUUGCUCGGAAUCACUGGGCGUAAAGGGUGCGUAGGUGGCGCCGUAAGUCGGGUGUGAAAUUUCGGAGCUUAACUCCGAAACUGCAUUCGAUACUGCGGUGCUUGAGGACUGGAGAGGAGACUGGAAUUCAUGGUGUAGCAGUGAAAUGCGUAGAGAUCAUGAGGAAGACCAGUGGCGAAGGCGGGUCUCUGGACAGUUCCUGACACUGAGGCACGAAGGCCAGGGGAGCAAACGGGG
rnacentral:rRNA from 1 species